rnacentral:rRNA from 1 species
GACGAACGCUGGCGGCGUGCUUAACACAUGCAAGUCGAGCGGUAAGGCCCUUUCGGGGUACGCGAGCGCGAACGGUGAGUAACACGUGGUGACCUGCCCUCAGCUCUGGGAUAAGCCUGGGAAACCGGUCUAAUACUGGAUAUGACUCCAUGACGCAUGUUGUGGGGUGGAAAGCCUUGUGCGGCUGAGGAUGGCCCGCGGCCUAUCAGCUUGUUGGUGGGNGAUGG